rnacentral:rRNA from 1 species
CCUAAAUUAUUAAUAGAUAUAUUCUUUAAAUUUGAAGAAUUUGGCGGUGGUCUAGUCUUGUUAGAGGAACCUGUUUUUGGAUCGAUAAACCACGUAGAAUUUUACUUGUUUUAUUAGUUUGUAUACCGUCAUUAUCAGAUAAUUUUUAAAGAAUUAAUCAUUAAAAUUUCUUAAAAUGUAAGCUAAAUUAGAUCAAGGUGCAGCUUAUAAAUAAGUUAAAAUGGGUUACAAUAAAAUUUAUUUAUAUGGAGUAGUAAUAGGAAGUAAUUAUACGAAGGCGGAUUUAAUUGUAAUAAAAAUUUAAUAAGUUUUAAAAAUAUAAGCUCUAGACCAU